rnacentral:rRNA from 1 species
CGCUAUCACUCCUACGGGAGGCAGCAGUAGGGAAUCUUCCACAAUGGGCGCAAGCCUGAUGGAGCAACACCGCGUGAGUGAAGAAGGGUUUCGGCUCGUAAAGCUCUGUUGUUAAAGAAGAACACGUAUGAGAGUAACUGUUCAUACGUUGACGGUAUUUAACCAGAAAGUCACGGCUAACUACGUGCCAGCAGCCGCGGUAAUACGUAGGUGGCAAGCGUUAUCCGGAUUUAUUGGGCGUAAAGAGAGUGCAGGCGGUUUUCUAAGUCUGAUGUGAAAGCCUUCGGCUUAACCGGAGAAGUGCAUCGGAAACUGGAUAACUUGAGUGCAGAAGAGGGUAGUGGAACUCCAUGUGUAGCGGUGGAAUGCGUAGAUAUAUGGAAGAACACCAGUGGUGAAGGCGGCUACCUGGUCUGCAACUGACGCUGAGACUCGAAAGCAUGGGUAGCGAACAGGAUUAGAUACCCUGGUAG